rnacentral:lncRNA from 1 species
GGGUAUGUGGACUCACGUCCCAGCUCUCUUGCUCUUUAACAUGAAGAAAUUUUUAACAGUUUAGUUGUUGAUUGAUCGGUUCCUCAAAGAUGGCCCUUCAAUAAUCGAAUGGAUUGUGACUUGUUUAGAUGAUUCUUUCCAAUCUGUUUGAUAUUGUGAAUAGUUUUAAAGAGAAACAUGCCAACCAACCUUCGGUUACUCUUUGUAUUAACAUAACGCGCCAUUGAUUGGUAUUUUUGACAUAUUUUUGGCUCUACAUGCUUGCUUUUGAGAGUAGGGAGGGAAUUCUUGGACUUGAGUUAAGUAGGACUGUUUUCAUUGAUGCUUUUAGGAAUCCGAUUGCAGUUAUGAAUAGUUUCAGUUCAGAAACAUGUGCUCUUCGUUCUCCAACGGAUUUUGAGUCCAAGUAGGUCUCCCUUUUAAGUAUUGGAUUGGUUUCACAACUCUUAAUAAGAUCUGAAUAUUUCAUUGUGUGAUGGAACAUUCAUUCCAGUUCUGUGUGGUAAUUCUUACAAUUCGUUUUGGUUUUUGUAGAUAUGUCCGGUUUGUAACAAAAGGGUGAAGGCGCAUAUGGUGGAUCAUAUAACAACACAUCAUAGAGAUGUCUUGAAGAUAUCCUUUUUUCUUUUCUUUUCUUAACCUUUUAAGCCAAAAUUAAUGCCUCUCUAAUGAAAGUGUUUUAUUUGAAUGUCCUUGACCGAGAACUUUACAGUGAGCAGAAGGAAAUGUCUUACAGAGAAGAUCCAUAUUCCUCGGA